CGAGACCUCAGGUCAGGCGGGGUUACCCGCUGAGUUUAAGCAUAUCAAUAAGCGGAGGAAAAGAAACUAAC
rnacentral:rRNA from 1 species